GCCUGGGUGGCUCAGUCGGUUGAGCAUCCGACUUCGGCUCGGGUCAUGAUCUCACAGCUCAUGGGUUCGAGCCCCGCGUCGGGCU
rnacentral:tRNA from 1 species